GGCGGGGCGUCCCGAGCCCAGCGAGCGCGGGAGCAGGAGAGGCAAGGCCACCCCUUACAGUUCUUGAAUACAGUUGCCGUAUGAAAAAAGGCUCGAAAUACUUUGUUGGCCCCAAAGCUGGGAGACAACAGUCCUGGGAGAAGAUGAGGCUGGCCGGGAUCAGAAGUGUUCUGAUUCAGAAGUAGCUGCUCCUUGCAUCUUAUUACAUCACUGUCACCUGUUUUAGGAGCAGAGUAGAGGGACAGAGGACAAAUACACGAUGGCAGGUGGGCGUGAUCCGAUCCACUGGGGUCCUGAAUAGAACAAAAAAGGCAGAGGAGAGGUGAAUUUGCUCUCGUUUUGAGCUGGGACAUCCAUCCUUUCCUGCCCCCCGGACAUUGGCGCUCUUGAUCCUCAGGCCUUUGGACCAGCUUUCCUGGGUCUUCAGCUUGCAGGCAGCAAAUCAUGGGACUUCUUGGCCUCCAUAAUCAUGUGAGGAAACCCAGAUCCAGAGAGCUGAAAUCCCUUGAAUAAGGUCACAGGGCCAGGAAGUGGCAGGGCUGGGAUUUGAACCUGGCCAUCCAGCUCCAGUCACAGAUGGGUGCUGGAAGCUGAGCCAACACUGGGCCACCAGGCAAGUUGCAGACAGCUGUGGUGGGGUGUGAAGAGGAGGCAUAUUCUGCUUUUAUCGGCCAGACAGACGGCCCACGUGUGAACUGGAGGCGGUGGUGGGCUUCAUCUCUGACCCGGGCACAACUGACCUCAGCAAAGGUCUGGU